GACGAACGCUGGCGGCGUGCCUAAUACAUGCAAGUAGAACGCUGCCGGCGGAGCUUGCUUCUCUGGAUGAGUUGCGAACGGGUGAGUAACGCGUAGGUAACCUGCCUGGUAGCGGGGGAUAACUAUUGGAAACGAUAGCUAAUACCGCAUAAGAGUAGAUGUUGCAUGACAUUUGCUUAAAAGGUGCAAUUGCAUCACUACCAGAUGGACCUGCGUUGUAUUAGCUAGUUGGUGGGGUAACGGCUCACCAAGGCGACGAUACAUAGCCGACCUGAGAGGGUGAUCGGCCAAGCUGGGACGGAGACACGGCCCAGACUCCUACGAGAGACAGCAGUAGGGAAUCUUCGGCAAUGGACGGAAGUCUGACCGAGGAACGCCGCGUGAGUGAAGGAGGUUGUCGGAUCGUGAAGCUCUGUUGUAAGAGAAGAACGAGUGUGAGAGUGGAAAGUGCACACUGUGACAGUAUCGGACCAGAAAGGGACGGCUAACUACGUG
rnacentral:rRNA from 1 species